GUUCAUCCCAGAAGUCACUUGUAUUGAACUCGCUCUAACUCAAUAACCGCAGAAUGGAGAGAGUUCCGGAUGGCGCCAUAAGAAAGAGGAGGAUUUUGUGGUUAGGACAGUGUUUAUCUCAUCCACUCAAGCGAUGUAGGUUAGCCGUGGAGAGUGUUUAAAUACAGGCAAUUUUUGGGUUUAGUGUAGAAAGGCCGGUCCCAGCGCUCACCCCAGAAGUCCCUCGUAUUAAACUUGCCGUAUCUCCGUAACCUGUGCACGGAGAGAGUUCUGGAUGGCGCCAUUAGAAAAAGGAGGAUUUGGAGGUUAGGACAGUGUCUAUCGUAUUAUCUCGAGCAAUGUAGGUUAGCCGUGGAGAGUGUUUGAAUACAGGCAAUUUUUGGGUUUAGUGUAGAAAGGCCGGUCCCAGCGCUCACCCCAGAAGUCACUCGUAUUAAACUCGCUCUAACUCCAUAACCGCAGCACGGAGAGAGUUCUGGAUGGCGCCAUUAGAAAAAGGAGGAUUUGGAGGUUAGGACAGUGUCUAUCGUAUUAUCUCGGGCAAUGUAGGUUAGCCGUGGAGAGUGUUUGAAUACAGGCAAUUUUUGGGUUUAGCACAGAAAGGCCGGUCCCAGCGCUCACCCCAGAAGUCACUCGUAUUAAACUCGCUCUAACUCCAUAACCGCGGCAUGAGGAGAGUUCUGGAUGGCGCCAUAAGAAAGAGGAGGAUUUGGAGGUUAGGACAGUGUCUAUCUCAUCCACUCAAGCGAUGUAGGUUAGCCGUGGAGAGUGUUUGAAUACAGACAAUUUCCGGGUUUAGUGUAGAAGGGCCGGUCCCAGCGAUCACCACAGAAGUCACUCGUAUUAAACUCGCUCUAACUCCAUAACCGCAGAAUGGAGAGAGUUCCGGAUGGCGCCAUUAGAAAGAGGAGGAUUUUGUGGUUAGGACAGUGUCUAUCGUAUUCCCUCGGGCAAUGUAGGUUAGCCGUGGAGAGUGUUUGAAUACAGGCAAUUUUUGGGUUUAGCGUAGAAGGGCCGGUCCCAGCGCACUCACCCCAGAAGUCACUCGUAUUAAACUCGCUCUAACUCCAUAACCGCAGAAUGGAGAGAGUUCCGGAUAGCGUCAUUAGAAAGAGGAAGAUUUUGCGGUUAGGACAGUGUCUAUCUCAUCCACUCAAGCGAUGUAGGUUAGGCGUGGAGAGUGUUUAAAUACAGACAAUUUCCGGGUUUGGCGCUGAAAGGCCGAUCCCCGCGGUACUGAAAAUCCAGCCAUCUCGGGUCUUUUAGGGGUUAAAGGAGAGCUUGCAAAAUCAUGAAUGGUCUAUAAACGGGUCCAGUGCCUUCUGUGGGUUAAAGAGAGUAGUAGUAGUAGUAGUAGUAGUAGUAGUAGUAGUAGUAGUAGUAGUAGUAAUAUUAACAAUCAUCAUGCAAUAUUAGGACUAACUUGGCGCCAUGCAGGAAAGAGAGAGAGAGAGAGAUAGAGCGAGAGAGAGAGAGAGAGAGAGAGAGAGAGAGAGAGAGAGAGAGAGAGAGAGAGAGAGAGAGAGAGACAGUGGAUUUUUUAAGAUUUUUAUUAGGAAUUUUUAGGAUGAAAAUGAGAGAGAGAGAGAGAGAGAGAGAGAGAGAGAGAGAGAGAGAGAGAGAGCGAUAGAGCGAGAGAUAGAGCGAGAG